ACCCGGUUUGUGGACAGCGUCGCCCCCUUCAGGCUGUAUGAUGAACAGCAGGAAGGCGUUACAGUGCAGGAGCUGAGACAGAACGCCCCAUGGAAAAUAUCUGACAAAGAGUUUGAAGUGUUCAGGCUAAAGUCUGAGAGGAAGAUCAGGCUGAAUGAAAUCAUCCGCAAGAACUCACAACACACUGCUCUGGUGCUCGUGAGCCUCCCUGUGCCGCACAGAGACUGCCCCAGCUCUCUGUACAUGGCCUGGCUGGACACU